ACAACCACAUCACGUUGAAAGACCAGUUCCCUUAUGAUCACUGAAGUUAAGUAACAUUGAGCCUGGUCAGUACCAAGAUGGGUGACUGUGAAUACCGGGUGCU